rnacentral:rRNA from 1 species
UACGGAGGAUCCAAGCGUUAUCCGGAUUUAUUGGGUUUAAAGGGUGCGUAGGCGGCUUUUUAAGUCAGGGGUGAAAGACGGUGGCUCAACCAUCGCAGUGCCCUUGAUACUGAUGAGCUUGAAUACACUUGAGGUAGGCGGAAUGUGACAAGUAGCGGUGAAAUGCAUAGGUAUGUCACAGAACACCAAUUGCGAAGGCAGCUUACUAAGGUGCAAUUGACGCUGAGGCACGAAAGCGUGGGGAUCAAACAGG